CGUAGGGUGCGAGCGUUAAUCGGAAUUACUGGGCGUAAAGCGUGCGCAGGCGGUGAGCUGUGUCCGAUGUGAAAGCCCCGGGCUUAACCUGGGAAUGGCAUUGGAAACUGGCUCGCUGGAGUGUGGCAGAGGGGGGUGGAAUUCCGCGUGUAGCAGUGAAAUGCGUAGAGAUGCGGAGGAACACCGAUGGCGAAGGCAGCCCCCUGGGCUAACACUGACGCUCAGGCACGAAAGCGUGGGGAGCAAACAGG
rnacentral:rRNA from 1 species